GACGAACGCUGGCGGCGUGCCUAAUACAUGCAAGUAGAACGCACAGUUUAUACCGUAGCUUGCUACACCAUAGACUGUGAGUUGCGAACGGGUGAGUAACGCGUAGGUAACCUGCCUGGUAGCGGGGGAUAACUAUUGGAAACGAUAACUAAUACCGCAUAAUAUUAAUUAUUGCAUGAUAAUUGAUUGAAAGAUGCAACUGCAUCACUACCAGAUGGACCUGCGUUGUAUUAGCUAGUAGGUGAGGUAACGGCUCACCUAGGCGACGAUACAUAGCCGACCUGAGAGGGUGAUCGGCCACACUGGGACUGAGACACGGCCCAGACUCCCACGGGAGGCAGCAGUAGGGAAUCUUCGGCAAUGGACGAAAGUCUGACCGAGCAACGCCGCGUGAGUGAAGAAGGGUUUCGGAUCGUAAAGCUCUGUUGUAAGAGAAGAACGGGUGUGAGAGUGGAAAGUUCACACUGUGACGGUAUCUUACCAGAAAGGGACGGCUAACUACGUG
rnacentral:rRNA from 1 species